UAGGGGACAGACUGUAGGGCAUUGGGGAUAGGCUGUAGGGUGUAGGGGACAGACUGUAGGGCAUGGGGAUAGGCUGUAGGGUGUAGGGGACAGACUGUAGGGCAUUGGGGAUAGGCUGUAGGGUGUAGGGGACAGACUGUUGGGCACGGUGGAUAGGCUGUAGGGUGUAGGGGACAGACUGUAGGGCAUGAGGAUAGGCUGUAGGAUGUAGGGGAUAGGCUGCAGAGCAUAAGGUGUAGGGCAUAGGGUUUGGAAAGUCGGCUGUAGGGUGUCGGGGAUAGGUUGUAGGGUUUAGGGAAUAGGCUGUAGGGUGUAGUGGAUGGGGAUAAAGGAUGCGGUAGAGGACAAGGGGGGUAAAGGUAUAAGGUCUAGGGGAUUAUGGAUAGGGUGGAGGGGACAAAGAGUAAGGAUAAGGACGGUGUGUGUGUGUGUGUGUGUGUGUGUGUGUGUGUGUGUGUGUCAGGACAUUAUUGAUGGUGCUUUUAGCAAUAAUGAUUUUACAUGAUUGUUUAUAUGAUAUAAAGUAUGUAAUACAGUGGUAUGUAUAUGUUAUAUUUGUGUAUCUUAUUCUGUGUGUGUGUGUGUGCGUGUGUGUGUGUGUGUGUGCGCGCGUGUGCGUGUGUGUGUAUGGACGGAGGCUAAUGAUUUGUCCUGUUUACUCUGGGCUCGGUGCAGCGAUACACACGCAGGAGGAAAUGGAUUCUAACCCAUCUCACUGAUCUCUUAUAUUAAACAGCUCAGCUUUCACUUAAAGUAAAUCUAGAUCCUCGUGUGUGUGUGUGUGUGUGUGUGUGUGUGUGUGUGUGUGUGUGUCUCAAGAGCCUCUGCAUUAUCGGCUCAUCGCUUUCUCAGAGUACUCUGGGUAAACAGAGGCCUUGUUUUUGUGUGUGUGUGUGUGUGUGUGUGUGUGUGUGUGUAAGUAACAUUGGGACUGUAGCAGUGGAUUAGAGGAUUAGACUAUAAUCCUGUUAUAAACACUAAAUCACACUUUGUGUCUGUGAACUCUGCAUUAUUUACUCUACUGCUUAAAUACAGUAAUGAUACACUCUUCCUUUUCUUCACCUCCCUUUCCUUUCCUUUCCAUCUAUCACUUUAUCUAUCGCUCUAUCUAUCGGUUUCAUUUCUUAUUCUUCAUUUCUCUCCUUACAUUUCUCUUCUGCUUUGUUUGUUUUUCUUUCUCCUCCGACUCUCUCUCUCUUUUCUUAUAUUAUUCAUCAUUCAUUUUUUGUUUUCCUUUUUUAUUUCUCACAUAUUUAUUUAUUUAAAGCCUUUCCUGUAUUUUCUGUUUAUCUCUUCAUGAAUCCCCCGCUUUAAUUCCUCCUCCUUGUUUGAUUUCUGUCAUUCAUUUGUUCAUUUUUAAAAAAUAGUUUUUCAAAUUUUGAUAUUUUUUCCCCCGCCGUACGCUUUCAUCUUCAGUUUCUUUCUCGGUGUUCCCUGAUGUUUUGCUUCCCUACAGUUCUUUCUUUCUUUUCCUUUCUUUCCUUCGUUCCAUCUUACUUUCAUUCCAUCCUUCCUUCCCUCCAAUCCAAUUAUCCUAUUAUGAACGCUCCCCUUUUGUAUUCCUCCUUUUUCUUCUCUCUCUCUCUCAUUAUUUUUUCUUACUUUGCUGUAGCUUCCUUUCUUCCUUUCCUUCUGUUUCUAUUUAUUCCCACCCUUCCUUUCUUGUCAUUCCCUUAAUUGUUUGCUUCCUUCUUUGUUCUUUCUUUGUUUCUUGCUUCUUCUCAUGUUCCUUUCUGUACAUCUCCCCCUGUUAUUCUGUUCUUUUGCACACGUUUUGUACGUGUGAACGCCGCGCGUGUGCGUGUGAGAGGAGGCGACUCGUCUCCUCUUUAUUAGGGAUUAACAGAUUGACGUCGUUCCUGUCGUUUAUCAUUCUCUCUGAUGCGAGUCCUCCUCUAACACACUCUGACCUGUGAAAGCCAUAAAUGGGUUUAUAAGGUUUCUCACACACACACCUACACACACACAUACACACACGCGCACACACACACCUACACACAUACACACACACACACACACACAGGAAAAUGCUUAAAGCAUUACAGUAUGUCAUAACAGAAAGAUCAGCCAGCGGCUAUUUAUGUUAGCUUCAUAACGAGCGCCAUUAAUGGCUGGCUUUAGCCGUAAACACUCGAGAGGGACGUACAAACAUCCCGGAGAGAGAGAGAAAGGGCGCGACAGAGAGAGAAAGAGAAAGAGAGAGAGAGAGAGAGAGCAGCUGUCUUUAUGCUAGUCAUCUCAUUUUUCCUCUUCAUCCACCUGGAGACUUGAGAAGUAAACAUGGAUUAUCGUGUAGACAUUAGCUAGCGUGCUAACUCCUACUGUGUGUGUACGUUUGUGUGUCUGUGGAUCGUCAAGCGAGUUAGCAAGCGAGUGUGUGUGUGUGUGUGUGUGUGUGGGUGUGUGUGUGUGGAUCAUCAUAUAUUUGCAUGCAAACACUCAUUUUGUGUGAUUACCAGACAGCGUGUUAGCUACCACAAAUCUCUGGAAUACUUUGUGUGUGUGUGGGGGGGGGGGGGGGGGGGGGGAUUAAACUAUGCGGUAAUGAAAACACAGCACAAUGUGUGUGUGAGUAUAUACAGCACGGUGGCAGGAAACAGAAACAGAGUGUCAAACCACAUCGUAAUAACAGCUUCUGAACAGCUGAUGAUGUCCAUAUGUUAGUGCGUGCAUGUGUGCACGAGUCAAGUGUCAUUCGUGAACGAGUCAACUCUCCGAGGUGAUUCGACUCUUACAGGUGAUUCCGUUACCUGGAAUACACCAUGUGAAGGUUUGUCUGAAAGUUCAUCAGUAGUUACUCACAUUCAGUGCAACUGUGAUCGAGAGGGGAAAAGAAAAAAAAAAAGAAGAAAAGAAUCACCUAAAAGAGUCGGAUAAGCUCAAAGAGUCGACUCGUUCAUGACUCCCUGAGGUGGUGAUUCAUUUAACUGCAGUAGAUCCUGCGAUGGUCUGACUGAAACGUGUAUGUGAUCGAGUCAAAUCGUUGCAGUGAUUCGAUGCGCUUAGGUCAAUUUACAGGAUCUUUUACAGUAAAAGCGUCAAAAGAGUCGAAUCUAUUCAAAGCAUCAGGAAGGAGUUGAUCGUUUUUAGCUCUGUGAGGCGAUUCUUUUCAUUAGAUUAAAACUGUAUGUGAUUACUGACGUUAGAGAAUUACCUUUCAUGUUACAUAAACAUGAGUACUGAAUAGUCACAGGAUCAAUUGAAGGUAAAAGAAUCACUUUGAAGAAUGGAAUCAUUUCAGUGAUUUUCAACGAUUCAACUCGUUCAUGUUAGAGAAUUGUUAAUACAGAGUAUUUAAUAAUGAAUUUCUAUCCAAACCAUCACCGGUUCUGCGAUCAUCUAAAAGUCAACUCGUUCACAUUCGCGAUAAAUGAACUAUGUUGGAAUUUUCAACCGAAUCUUCACAGGAUCUAUUUCAGCUAAACGAUUCACAUAGUCAAAUAGUCAUGACUGAGAUAAAAGUCUGAUGUGAUUCGAUUCUUUAAGAGGAUUCUUUUUCCCCCCAAUCACAUUUGCGCUGUAUGUGAUUUACGACGUUAGAGAAUUACGAGUAAAGCAUAAUGAUUCGUUUUCAGCCGAUGAUCUAUUGCAGGUAAAAGAAUCACCUUAAAGAAGCUUUGACUCUCUCAGGUUUGACCAUCGUGAAUACAGAAUAAUGAUGAAUUUUCAGAGAAACCAUCACAUGGUAUCUUUUGCAUUUAAAAGAAUCACCUGAAAGAGUCAUGAACGAGUCAAACAUUUAGGGUGAUUCUUUUAACUCUUUAAGAUGAUUUUUUUUUCUGUCAUAGUUGUGCAUCUGAUUAAGGACAUAGAAUUGUGAAACUCAAACUGUCACCUCAAUCAUGACUCUUUGAGGUUAUUGGACUCUUUGAGGUUGUUUGACUCUGAGGGUAUUUGACUCUUUGAGGUUAUCGGACUCUGAGGUUAUUGGACUCUUUGAGGUUAUCGGUCUCUGAGGUUAUUGGACUCUGAGGUUAUCGGACUCUUUGAGGUUAUCGGACUCUGAGGGUAUUUGACUCUUUGAGGUUAUCGGACUCUGAGGUUAUUGGACUCUUUGAGGUUAUCGGUCUCUGAGGUUAUUGGACUCUUUGAGGUUAUCGGACCCUGAGGUUAUUGGACUCUUUGAGGUUAUCGGUCUCUGAGGUUAUCGGACUCUUUGAGGUUAUCGGACUCUUUGAGGUUAUCUCUCUCUGAGGUUAUCGGACUCUUUGAGGUUAUCUGUCUCUGUGGGUAUUUGACUGAGGUUAUUGGGCUCUUUGAGGUUGUUUGACUCUUUGAGGUUAUCUGUCUCUGAGGGUAUUUGACUCUUUGAGGUUAUUUGACUCUGAGGUUGUUUUACUCUGAGGUUAUCCGUCUCUGAGGGUAUUUGACUCUUUGAGGCUGUUUGACACUUUGAGGUUAUCGGUCUCUGAGGGUAUUUGACUCUUUGAGGUUGUGUGACUCUGAGGUUAUUUGACUCUUUGAGGUUGUUUGACUCUGAGGUUAUCUGUCUCUGAGGGUAUUUGACUCUUUGAGGCUGUUUGACUCUUUGAGGUUAUCCGUCUCUGAGGGUAUUUGACUCUUUGAAGAUAUCUGACUCUCUGAGGUGACUUUUUACGUGAUGGUUCGGUGUGUGGUAGAAAUGCAUCUUGGGAAUCUUAACAUCAGAAGGCGGAGUGAGAUUUUAUCGAGGAAGUUGAGAUUAAAACGAUAAAUACAACCAAAUACCAAGAACUAGCACCAAUUUCACUGAUUCACUGUAGAGUCGAAAUCCCAUCACUAGUGAGUGUGUGUUAGAGUGUGCAUUAUUUCUUUCCACGCUCCUACACCUAUCUCUGUAAUGGAAUCCACCAAUACAAAGCACCAGCAAACACUAUUACACACACACACACACACACACACACACACACGCCUCAUAUGCUGCAGUGUUUAUGGCUGUGAUAACAAGAGCCAGAUCAAUACAAUACUGAAAGUGUUUCUCUCUCUCUCUCUCUCUCUUUCCUGCUCCCUUUGUCUUCCUCUCUCUCUCUCCUCCUUCUGUCAUUCUCUUCUGUUUCUCUCUUCUUUCCUUUCUGUUAUUGGAGUUACUCUUUUCUUUCUCAUCUCUGCAUCACUCUGUUUCUCUCUCUUCUGAAUCUCACUCUUUUUAUUUUCUUCAAAAUGUGCUUCUGUCCAUCCGUUGCUUACUUUCUCUCUUCCUGCAUGUUUCAGGACACCUCUCUCUCUCUCUCUCUCUCUCUCUCUCUCCCACCCACUCUCUCUCUCUCUGUGUGAAAUCAGGACAGUAUUGAUUCUCUCCUUUGGCUUGAACCCCUCAGCGGUGUGUCACAGGUCGUAUGUGCUCUGUGUGUGUGUGUGUGUGUGUGUGUGUGUGUGUGUGUGUGAUAGAUGGUGCUCUCUGUGCUGCAGUCAUUUUCCUCCUGCUCAUUUAUUUCAGCACUUUCACCAUUUACCAAAGAAUCUCCUUUAUCUUUCCGACACAGAGAGGGAGCGAGGGAGAGACAGACAGAGCGAGAGAGAGACAGACAGAGAGAGACAGAGCGAGAGAGACAGACUGAGCGAGAGAGAGACAGAGAGAGAGAGAGAGACAGACUGAGCGAGAGAGAGGCAGAGAGAGAGAGAGAGAGAGAGAGACAGAGCGAGAGAGACAGAUUUCUGCAGUGACAGCACAAUGCGACAGAGAGACACAUAAAACUUAUCCCUCCAUCGUAUCUCUCUGCACUGAUGCGGCAUUCUUUUUUUUCCAUGCCCUUUCGUUCCUUUUUUCUCCUCCAUAACUCUCUCUGUUCUUCUUUUCACUAUUCGUCCAUGGUACGUUUCCCUUCCACACAUUCAGCCUCGUCUUCUUCUUAAUAAUCUCCCUCCGUUUAUCUUACUUCUUUUUCUGCAUGUGAUAUUCUCCCUUUUUUUUUUUUUUACUUUUCCUUUCAUAGUCUUCUACGAACACUACGAUCUACAAGGCGACCACCGGAUACACGUGAGCCGCUCCGGCGUGUGCGCGUGACACACACGUGUGCCGUCUGUGUGAGAGGUGUGUGUGUACGUAGUGUAAUUACUGAUCAUUGGAGCGCGUGUGAUAUCAAAGACGUGGCAAUUAAGCCUCAUUUGCAUAUCACGUGCACGCAAGACAUCCAGGGGGGAAUCACGUGGGAAAAUGAAAAACACGUGGGGAGAAACGUGAACGUGAAGUCACGUGGGGGGGGGGUGCGGAAAAGAAUCUCUACAAGUGAAAAACCUUAGGGAAAAAAAAAGUCACGUGAAAAAUAAACGUGGAAAAUGAAAAAUUUGACCCAAAAAAAAAGAAUAAAUCACGUGAAAAUGAUAAACGUGGAGAAAAACACGUGAAAUCAAAGUCACGUGAAAUAAAACGUAAAAAAAAGUUUCUCUAAAAGUGGAAAAAUUAAAAUCUGGAGAGAGAAAAAAAAAUCGAUAUUAAAAACAAAAUGCUCUGCGCGUGUAAAAAUGAAGUAAUUAAAAAAAAAGAAUUAACGUGUAGAAAUAAAAACACGUGCACGACACGUCUGAACAGCACGAGUGUAUGAACAGUGAGACUUUUUUCUUCUUCUUCUUUUUUUUAAACAAAUGUUUCUUUCUCUACAUUAAACUGCUUGCAAAUGUAAUUUAUUUGGUCCAGUUUUUAAUCAAGGAUUUCACCACCUCACGUGACACGCCCCCUCCUGCCCCCCCUCCCCCCG
ensembl:lncRNA